GUACCGGAAGAAUCAGCACCGGCUAACUUCGUGCCAGCAGCCGCGGUAAUACGAAGGGUGCAAGCGUUACUCGGAAUUACUGGGCGUAAAGGGUGCGUAGGUGGUUUUUUAAGUCUGAUGUGAAAGCCCUGGGCUCAACCUGGGAAUGGCANUGGAUACUGNAAAGCUAGAGUGCGGUAGAGGGUAGUGGAAUUCCCGGUGUAGCAGUGAAAUGCGUAGAGAUCG
rnacentral:rRNA from 1 species